UUUUUAGUGUAAGUAUGCCUCAUGCAAUAUUUAGGGCAUACUUAUACUUAAA
rnacentral:pre_miRNA from 1 species